rnacentral:rRNA from 1 species
UACGCAGGGGGCUAGCGUUGUUCGGAUUUACUGGGCGUAAAGCGCACGUAGGCGGAUCUUUAAGUCAGAGGUGAAAUCCCAAGGCUCAACCUUGGAACUGCCUUUGAUACUGGGGAUCUUGAGUCCGGGAGAGGUGAGUGGAACUGCGAGUGUAGAGGUGAAAUUCGUAGAUAUUCGCAAGAACACCAGUGGCGAAGGCGGCUCACUGGCCCGGUACUGACGCUGAGGUGCGAAAGCGUGGGGAGCAAACAGG